UUUUUUGACAUUUGAAAUUUGACAAAAACAUGACCAUUCCAUUGCUAUUUGCAAACAGUUUUUAGUAUUGUACUCGUUUUCCGAACAAGAAAUCAUCUACAAUGAAAUCACUAUUCCCAAAGAAUAUUUUAACAUCAAUUCUGCAGUAAUUCUCCAAUGAGUACCUUUGACUGGUGGUUACAAGAAAAUUAAUACCUUUCGGAGUGUCAAAAUAUCAAUUAAGGUUUGAUGAAGACUAAAGCGAGUGUACAUAUCAACUAUUGUAGAGGAAUGUGUAUCUCUACUGUUUUAUAUAUUAUUACUGCCAUAGCUGUCGUAGAUGGAUGUGGUACAGUGCUUUAGUAGCCCAGGAUCCUAAGGAGGGCCACAGUUGAUCAUCACGAUAGCCUUAUAAGGAAUUAGAGUUCAACAAAAGACUGCUUAAAAUUAUUUUAAACAGUUAAUAACAACAACAAACAAAUCAUGUUGCACCGCAGUUCUUGGCCACUUGUCUAUGGUACUUUCCCUUAUGUUCUUCCUUUU